rnacentral:rRNA from 1 species
AGGACGAACGCUGGCGGCGUGCUUAACACAUGCAAGUCGAGCGGAAAGGCCCUUCGGGGUACUCGAGCGGCGAACGGGUGAGUAACACGUGAGCAACCUGCCCUUAGCUUCGGGAUAGCUCCGGGAAACCGGAAUUAAUACCGAAUAUGACUUUGGCUGACAUCAGCAGAAGUGGAAAGUUUUUCGGCUAGGGAUGGACUCGCGGCCUAUCAGCUAGUUGGUGAGGUAACGGCCCACCAAGGCGACGACGGGUAGCCGGCCUGAGAGGGCGACCGGCCACACUGGGACUGAGACACGGCCCAGACUCCUACGGGAGGCAGCAGUGGGGAAUAUUGCGCAAUGGGCGAAAGCCUGACGCAGCGACGCCGCGUGGGGGAUGAAUGCCUUCGGUUGUAACCCCUUUCAGCAGGGACGAAGCGAAAGUGACGGUACCUGCAGAAGAAGCGCCGGCUAACUACGCGCCAGCAGCCGC